rnacentral:rRNA from 1 species
CGGGUGAGUAACGCGUGGGUAACCUGCCUCAUACAGGGGGAUAACAGUUAGAAAUGGCUGCUAAUACCGCAUAAGACCACAGUACUGCAUGGUACAGUGGUAAAAACUCCGGUGGUAUGAGAUGGACCCGCGUCUGAUUAGGUAGUUGAUGAGGUAACGGCCCACCAAGCCGACGAUCAGUAGCCGACCUGAGAGGGUGACCGGCCACAUUGGGACUGAGACACGGCCCAG